rnacentral:lncRNA from 1 species
GGGCUCAAUUAAGAAAGGGAUGAACAUCCCACAUGUGUUUGGCUGAGUGACAUUUCCAAGCCAGUGGGCACAGGAAGCCUGGUGAGAAGCAGGAGCAAGAGGACUAUGGCUUAAAUGCAGAGGUGUUUAGGAAAGUUAGGUGGGAUUUCUGAACCUGAGGUGAAUAAGACAGACUCUUCCCAGCAGGACUUAAUGAGAGCAGACAUGCAACACAGAGUUUGACUUGCUGGGACAUAAGGGGAAACGAAGGGCCAGAACUGUGGUCAGCUGAGCCCCACCACACAGCCACAUGUUCCUUCUAGAGGGGGCCUUCCUCCUCCCUUGCUCUUCCUUUCACCCAGCAAUUUGUACAUUACAUCUUCUCCCCACAUAAUCCCUGUUGUUGUUAAUUAGCCAGUGGCAAAGUGCAGAGAGCUGUUGCUUAAGAUACAGUUGCUCAUCCAGGGAACUGCUGUAAAACACCAGGCACACCAUUCCCUAUCCUGUCAUCACCCAAGACAAAAAAUGUGCAUGCCCAAAUCCAGUAACACCAAUGCUUCCAUACGAGAAAGGCUUUUAAAAACAGUUUUAUGAGUUGUUGCAGCUGGACGUCUGUUUAGGCUGUGGCACUGUAAUCCCAGGCACAAUAUUACCCUCCCCUUCCAAACAGUUACUCGGGCAACUUUAGUUUUAGAAGCCAGGAAUUGCUGCAGAGGAUUAGGUGCUAUGGGCCUAGCCCUGACACCCAGCUGCACAGCUUUCAGCUGCAAACUUGAGGUCACGUUUUCCACAGCACUUGGUACCUAAUGCCUCUCCCUUCCAUGGACUGAAAUCAUGUGGUACCAAUCACAUAAAUGGGAACUGUGUAGUCUGAUGGCACAAAAUUAACCAUUCAGAGAAUCUUGAAACAAACAGGACUUGACAGGAUGUGUUUUGUGCCAGGUUCGUGAUUUGAGUCAGAUGGCUGUGGUGGAUUAGGUCUGGCAGUGGUAGCCUGAACACUGGGCUUACUGCUUGGUAAAAUCCCAGACACAGCAGUUGGAAACAGUCUUAUGUUAGAACCUAAAGAUGUUUUUAAAAGGCUGUGUUUAAAUAGGUACAAAUAUUAAGCUUCAUUGCUUGUAGAGAAAUACCCUGUGAGUAAAAAAGGUAACUUUCAGUAAAUAUCUUUUUGAAGAGUUUUAGCCUUCUUUGCACAUGAUAUUUUGUACUGUAUGAAAUAAUGACUUUGCCAAAGUUUGCCCCUUCAGAGUAUCAACUGCUGUCCAAGAAGGCAGCAAAGCCAAAACAAAUGCAAUCUAUUCUGUAUGCUUUUCUGAAAGAGCAAAGAGCAAGUAGCUAAGUGUGGAUAGCCUUCUGGAAGUUCGUACUCCCUCAAACUGACCCUAUUACACCCCUCUUAGACAAAAGUGAGAACAAGGCAUUUGCACUGGCCUUGUAAGGUGAGACAAACCAGUGCUGGUCACUGACAAGGAGCUUUUGGUAGAAAUAGUUUUAAUAUGUGUUGUUCUACUGAUCCUGUUCACCACACAGAUGUGGAAACUUUCAUGCUGGAAGGAGGGAGGAGGUGCCACACUGGCUAUGAGUCAGAGAAUUUUACUGACUCUUUAGAAAAAGAUAAUUAUUAGAUUCCUCUCAUCAUGAGACCUGCGUCUACUGAAAGCUGUAGAAUGAGCUUGUUCAAAAGGAUUAAGGAAAGAAUUUCUGAGACAUAAGUGAUGCUGCAUAGAGCUUGAAAUUUUGGCCCAUUCUGACCUUCAAGCAUGACAUGUUUCAUAAGUAGCAAACAAGGCAAAACAAACCAAAUGGAGACCUUUUUUAACCCAGACAGCAAUGUUUUUUCUCCAUUAGCACCAAAAAAGAUUUCUCUCAGAGCACAACACUGCAAAGUGUAUAUAUGGUGUGAGGCUCUGAAUAGUGUUUGUAUUGUGAAAGCAAGUGCUUAUGGGAUCUACUCCUGCCAGUAAAUUUUUUUAGAACACUGGAACCAUAAACACAUUUUACAAUAUUAACAUAGGCAGUUACGGCACAUUGGCAUACCUGCAGAGUACAAAAGUUGAGAAAUCUGGUCAGACUGGUUUUUGAAAGGUGAAAGAGAUCUCUGGUGAAAUGAUAAACAUUAAAAUACUAUUAAGAUAACAUUAAAAGUGGUGCUUUCAGCAAGCAAUCUGGUCACUAGGAAAAAAAAGAAAAAA